rnacentral:tRNA from 1 species
CGGGACGUAGCUCAGUUUGGGAGAGCGCUUCCUUGGGGUGGAAGAGGUCGUGAGUUCAAGUCUCGUCGUUCCGACCA